rnacentral:rRNA from 1 species
CUGGAAUGAAGCGUCAUAGAGGGUGAGAAUCCCGUCUUUGACAUGGACUCCCAGUGUAUUUGUAGCAUGCUCUCAAAGAGUCGAGUUGUUUGGGAAUGCAGCUCUAAAUGGGUGGUAACCUCCAUCUAAGCUAAAUAUUGGCGAGAGACCGAUAGUGAACAAGUACCGUGAGGGAAAGAUGAAAAGAACUUUGGAAAGAGAGUUAAAAAGUACGUGAAAUUGUUGAAAGGGAAACGCUUGAAGUCAGUCACAUUGGCCAGGGAUCAACCCAAGCUUUUGAGUGUACUUCCUGGCUGAUGGGCCAACAUCAGCUUUGACUGUCAGAGAAGGGUAGGGGGAAUGUGGCACCCUUCUUGGGUGUGUUAUAGCCCUCUGUCAUAUAUGGCCGUUGGGGCUGAGGAAUGCAGCGCGCCACAAGGCCGGGCUUCGACCACGUUCGCGCUUAGGAUGUUGGCAUAAUGGCUUUAAUCGACCCGUCUUGAAACACGGACCAAGGAGUCUAACAUGCCUGCGAGUGUUUGGGUGGAAAACCCGAGCGCAUAAUGAAAGUGAAAGUUGAGAUCCCUGUCAUGGGGUGCAUCGACGCCCGGACCUGAGCUUUCUAGCAAUGGCUCUGCGGUAUAGCAUGUAUGUUGGGACCCGAAAGAUGGUGAACUAUGCCUGAAUAGGGCGAAGCCAGAGGAAACUCUGGUGGAGGCUCGUAGCGAUUCUGACGUGCAAAUCGAUCGUCGAAUUUGGGUAUA